GACGAACGCUGGCGGCGUGCCUAAUACGUGCAAGUCGAACGAACCGCGACUAAGUGCUUGCACUAAGUCAAGGUGAGUGGCGAACGGGUGAGUAACACGUGGGUAACCUACCUCAUAGUGGGGGAUAACAGUCGGAAACGACUGCUAAUACCGCAUAGGACAUAGGAUCACAUGAUCCAGUGAGGAAAGGUGGCGCAAGCUAUCGCUAAGAGAUGGACCCGCGGUGCAUUAGCUAGUUGGUAGGGUAAAGGCCUACCAAGGCGAUGAUGCAUAGCCGACCUGAGAGGGUGAUCGGCCACAUUGGGACUGAGACACGGCCCAAACUCCUACGGGAGGCAGCAGUAGGGAACCUUCCGCAAUGGACGCAAGUCUGACGGAGCAACGCCGCGUGAGUGAAGAAGGUCUUCGGAUCGUAAAGCUCUGUUGUUAGAGAAGAACAGCGCAUAGAGUAACUGCUAUGCGUGUGACGGUAUCUAACCAGAAAGCCACGGCUAACUACGUG
rnacentral:rRNA from 1 species